CUACAUAAUAAAAAUCUACUUUCCUUUCUCAGGUGGUGAAUUCUGACCUUGUUUGUUUCAAGGAGUAUGAUAAUAACAUUGUAAUGCAGGGUGAUGCACGAUUGAAAGUCUAUGUAGGAUGUCCACCUGGAAACAGACUUGCUUUUGAUAUUUCCUACACACUUCAGUACAGCACCGAGCGAAAUAACAUAUACUUUGACUGUAUCGAACCUAAUGUAGAAAUUCCAUGCUUCUAUUAUGAAAUCCGAAAGGAGAGGAAUGCUCGUGUAACUUGCGCCGAAAAACAUAUCCUCUUUUGAGAGGUUUGCUCGACUACUA